AUGGAGUUCACCAAGGAUGGCUCCGUCGACCUCCGCGGCCAACCGAUCAUCGCCUCCCGGACCGGCCGGUGGAAGGCGUGCUCCUUUUUACUAGGGUACGAGGCGUUCGAGCGGAUGGCGUUCUACGGGGUGGCAUCGAACCUGGUGGUGUACCUGACGACUCAGAUGCGGCAGGAGACGGUGUCGUCGGUGCGCAGCGUCAACAACUGGACGGGGGCGGUGUGGAUGACGCCCAUCGCCGGCGCCUACGUCGCCGACGCCUUCCUCGGCCGCUUCUGGACCUUCACCGGCGCCUCGCUCAUAUACCUCGUGGGCAUGGUUAUGAUAAGCCUGGCCGUCUCCCUGAAGCCACUGCACCCGCACUGCACCGCGGACGGUGACUGCGCCCCGGCGACCCGGCGGCAGGUGGCCUUCUUCUACGCGGCGCUUUACACCAUGGCCGUCGGCGCGGGCGGGACCAAGCCCAACGUCUCGACGUUCGGCGCGGACCAGUUCGACGAUUUGGACGUACGGGAGCGCGAGAUCAAGGCUUCCUUCUUCAACUGGUGGACGUUCAGCACCUUCACCGGCGGCCUCGUCGCCAUGCUCGUCCUCGUUUACGUCCAGGAGGAGGUCGGCUGGGGCGUCGGGUACGCGAUCCCGACGGUCGGCCUUGCCCUGUCUCUUGUGCUGUUCUAUGUGGGCAUGCCGUUCUACCGGCACAAGCCUGUCAGGCGGAGCACGGCGGCAGGUCCAGCAAGGCUGAUCGGCAGGGUGCUCAGGGCAGCCUAUGCGAACCGGGGAUGUCAGCUCACCGGGGAGCUGAACGAGCAUGGCACGGCUGCUGCCGUUGACGGGAAGCGGCUUUUACUCCACACGCGGGAUAAUUUCAGGUUCUUGGACAAGGCGGCCAUGGUGUCAGACACAGACAGUGAGACGGCCAGCCAUGCGCCAUGCACAGUGACCGAGGUCGAGGAGGUGAAGCUCAUAGCCGGAAUGAUCGUGGUAUGGCUUGUCACUCUGGUGCCCUGCAUGAUCCCUGCGCAAGUGAACACCCUCUUCGUGAAGCAAGGGACCACCCUGGACCGCUCACUCGGUGCCGUCCGCAUCCCGGCCGCCUCCCUCGGCAGCUUCAUCACCAUCUCCAUGCUCAUCUCGAUCCCUAUCUACGACCGCGUGCUGGUGCCGCUCCUCCGGCGGCGCACCGGCGACCCGCGUGGCAUCACCCUCCUGCAGCGCCUUGGCGUCGGGUGCUUGCUGCAAGCGCUGGUCGUGGCAUGCGCCUGCCUUGUCGAGGUCAGGCGCAUGCGCGUGAUCCGGGAGCGCUCCAUCCACGGCCCCCACGACACGGUGCCGAUGAGCGUCUUCUGGAUGCUGCCGCAGUACGUGCUCCUAGGCAUCGGCGACGUGUUCAACACCAUCGGAGUCCUCGAGUUCUUCUACGACCAGUCGCCGGAGGGGAUGCAGAGCCUCGGAACCACCUUCUACACGAGCGGGCUCGGCGUCGGGAACUUCCUCAACAGCUUGCUCGUGACGCUCGUCGACCGGACCACCAGGGCGAGCGUCGGCAAGAGCUGGAUCGGCGACAACCUGAACGACUCACACCUCGACUACUACUACGUGUUCCUGCUAGUGCUCUCCGUGGCCAACAUGGCGCUCUUCGUGUGGGUCGCGAUGCGGUACAAGUACAAGAAAGAGUUCCUGGAGGACAACGGCACGAUGGGGACGCCUGAGGCCGAGACUGAGAUGGUGGCCGACGGCAAGGUAACGGCGGACUCGCCGCUGGUGGUGGAGCGUGAUAAGGUGGAGGCCAUGCAUGUUGCCUAG
rnacentral:rRNA from 1 species